GAUGAACGCUGGCGGCGUGCCUAAUACAUGCAAGUCGAGCGAACAGAUGAGGAGCUUGCUCCUCUGACGUUAGCGGCGGACGGGUGAGUAACACGUGGAUAACCUACCUAUAAGACUGGGAUAACUUCGGGAAACCGGAGCUAAUACCGGAUAAUAUAUUGAACCGCAUGGUUCAAUAGUGAAAGACGGUUUUGCUGUCACUUAUAGAUGGAUCCGCGCCGCAUUAGCUAGUUGGUAAGGUAACGGCUUACCAAGGCAACGAUGCGUAGCCGACCUGAGAGGGGGAUCGGCGACACUGGAGCUGGGACGCGGUCCAGACUACUGCGGGAGGCCGCAGUAGGGAAUCUGCCGCAGUGGGCGAAAGCCUGACGGAGCAACGCGGCGUGAGUGAUGAAAGUCUUCGGAUCGUAAAACUCGGUUAUGAGGGAAGAACAAAUGUGUAAGUAACUAUGCACGUCUUGACGGUACCUGAUCAGAAAGCCACGGCUAACUACGUG
rnacentral:rRNA from 1 species